rnacentral:lncRNA from 1 species
GAUGAAUAGGCGCCUCUUAUUGGAAUUUUUCUCCAAUUAAAGACGCAAAGAAAUCAUGCCCUUUGGAAGCAGGUUUCUCCACCUUAACUUGCAAAAAGACGGCAAAAUUAUGAGAAAAAUAUCUCAGACAUACUAUAAAUAUAUGUUUAAUGUAAUUACGAAGAAAAAUUUCUCUAGAUGAGUAGAAAAAUUCAACCCUCAUACUACAACUACUAUUAGUAUCAAGAACUAAACUCGGGUAAUUGUUAAUACUUUUAGCUACUACAAAAAAUAGAAAAUACAC